GCCUGGCUAGCUCAAUCGGUAGAGCGUGAGACUCUUAUUCCAUCUCAAGGCUGUGGGUUCAAGCCCCACGUCGGGCU
rnacentral:tRNA from 3 species